UCUUCCAUGGCGCAAUCGGCAGCGCGUCCGACUGUUAUGGGUCCAAUGAUCAAGACAUCGGGAGGUUGACAGUUCAAACCUGUCUGGAAGAG